rnacentral:piRNA from 1 species
AAGAAGGGCCAAUCAGUAGUUAU